GCUCUGCACUUUCCAGAUGGCGGUGCAGGCAGAUCAUCUAGAGUGGUCAGCUUGGUUGUCCUGCUUAGGCGAAUACAUUGUGGGGUCUGGCAUAACGCGGAGUAGAUGCGCACGAAACGCGGAGCCAGC
rnacentral:ncRNA from 1 species